GACGAACGCUGGCGGCGUGCCUAAUACAUGCAAGUCGAACGCAUUUUCUUUCACCGUAGCUUGCUACACCGAAAGAAAAUGAGUGGCGAACGGGUGAGUAACACGUGGGUAACCUGCCCAUCAGCGGGGGAUAACACUUGGAAACAGGUGCUAAUACCGCAUAAUUCCAUUUACUGCAUGGUAGAUGGAUGAAAGGCGCUUUUGCGUCACUGAUGGAUGGACCCGCGGUGCAUUAGCUAGUUGGUGGGGUAACGGCCUACCAAGGCUGCGAUGCAUAGCCGACCUGAGAGGGGGAUCGGCCACACUGGGACUGAGACACGGCCCAGACUCCUACGGGAGGCAGCAGUAGGGAAUCUUCGGCAAUGGACGCAAGUCUGACCGAGCAACGCCGCGUGAGUGAAGAAGGUUUUCGGAUCGUAAAACUCUGUUGUUAGAAAAGAACAAGGAUGAGAGUGGAAAGUUCAUCCCUUGACGGUAGCUAACCAGAAAGCCACGGCUAACUACGUG
rnacentral:rRNA from 1 species